GGAUUAAAUGAAGUAAUACAGGUAUAUGACCUGACUCCUACUAAAUCAUAGUCAAUGACAUUUUUUUUCUAUUGAUACACUAUUUUCAAAUUACCUAAUAGGAAUUGUUAAAUUGAUUCUCAGUCAGAGGAAAUGAUUCCCCUCAGAGGACAUUUGGCAGUGCUGGAGAUGUUUUUGGUUAUCACAACUGGUAUUACUACAUAGGUAAGAAGCGAAGGAUGCUGUUAAACAUCUUACAGCACCGAUAGGGAGCCCCUACAGCAGGAAUUCUUGGACCCAAGUGCCAACAAAGUCACUGAUGAAAAACCCUGAUGGAGAACGUUCGUUUCAACAUACUACAAACUCCAACACUCCAGAAGUUCUGUGCAAAGCAUUUCUACAUCAAAUCACAGUACAGGACAACCCCUAAUGAAUGAUGAACAGAACAGUUUCCUGACCAACCGGCAGCCCGGCCCAUUCAUUCUGAUUGCAAGACGGGAUAAGAAAUUACUCUGCGACCUUUGAGUAAAUAGUGGGGGAGAUUCUGUAGAGCAGUUUCCAUCAAGCAAUUUGUAAUCAAGCAAACAUCAUUAAAGACUUUCUCCUGGCCAUGUUUCCUGAACUCUGCUGAUCUUCAAGGCAUCAGAAUAAACAGGUCCAAUUAAAGAAAACA
rnacentral:lncRNA from 1 species